CCUGACAGCAGAUGAUGAUUCUCCCUUUUUUCUUUCUUUUCAUGAAAAUCUUUUGCUUUGACCUGUACAUUCAACAGUCAUUCAGUAACCCUCUCCCCUUAUGUUUCUGUGUUCCAGUAGCUAGUGAAAAGACAACAUCGUGGGAAGCAUUUUCUUUUUCUUUAUCGUACAGUUAACUGCUAAUAUUAUCCAACGUGCCACUUGAAAUCGUUCAAAAGGGAAAGGCACUCUUUGAUUUUCGCAUUGAUGAUCCCCGUGAAUUAUGGGCGUUUUGAAUAUUACCUUUACCCCGAGUGCCGCUAUUUUGGAAUUUAUAGAUCCAACCGCCUCACGAAACAUUGGCAACAUUCUGCAGUCAACAUAACAAAGAUGAAUCGAUUGACUUUGUCUUUAUUUUUGGAACGAGAAAAGAAACAUACCUCAACACGCUAAUCAUCAAUCGCAACAAGUCACGUUUGGCUUCAUCGUGCCGGUAGCGACUUCGGAUUCCGAAACGAAGAAAAUUGAAGACGGAAUUAGCGAAGUCGACGCUACUCGCCGCAGAAGUUUCCACGUUCGUAAGGCCUAAUUCCAAUUGAUAAGACAAACACAUAUGGUAGCGAGGAUUUUUAUGGAGUGGAACACUGAUGGAGAAUGGGAAGUCGGCGGAGAUUGAAGGCCGGAUGCACAAGACACAUACGCAAUAAAGUCUAAUGCGCGCAGACAUAAUCAAAACUUACAACUAGUAGUUUACGUUUUUAUGAAAAAAAAAAAAAAAAAUAGGCAUCCGCCUAUUUUAUUCUUUUCCUAGUCAGGGGGAAAAAAAAAUCUGCCGAGCAAACGUCAAUUCUACUAUGGAAAUACAUUAAUAAGUUUUAAACUCUCUCUCUCUCUCUCUCUCUCUAUACUUACACGUCAAU